AGCUCCAAUAGCGUAUCUUAAAGUUGCUGCAGUUAAAAAGCUCGUAGUUGGAUCUCGGGAUCGAGCUGACGGUCCGCCGCGAGGCGAGCUACCGUCUGUCCCAGCCCCUGCCUCUCGGCGCCCCCUCGAUGCUCUUAGCUGAGUGUCCCGCGGGGUCCGAAGCGUUUACUUUGAAAAAAUUAGAGUGUUCAAAGCAGGCUUAGGCCGUUGGAUACAUUAGCAUGGAAUAAUAAGAUAGGGCCACGACGGUCUAUUUUGUUGGUUUGCACGUUGUGGUAAUGGUUAACAGGAAUAGUUGGGGGUAUUCGUAUUCAAUUGUCAGAGGUGAAAUUCUUGGACCGGCGCAAGACGGACGAAAGCGAAAGCAUUUGCCAAGAAUGUUUUCA
rnacentral:rRNA from 1 species